GACGAACGCUGGCGGCGUGCUUAACACAUGCGAGUCGAACGGAAAGGCCCUGCUUUUGUGGGGUGCUCGAGUGGCGAACGGGUGAGUAACACGUGAGUAACCUGCCCUUGACUUUGGGAUAACUUCAGGAAACUGGGGCUAAUACCGGAUAGGAGCUCCUGCUGCAUGGUGGGGGUUGGAAAGUUUCGGCGGUUGGGGAUGGACUCGCGGCUUAUCAGCUUGUUGGUGGGGUAGUGGCUUACCAAGGCUUUGACGGGUAGCCGGCCUGAGAGGGUGACCGGCCACAUUGGGACUGAGAUACGGCCCAGACUCCUACGGGAGGCAGCAGUGGGGAAUAUUGCACAAUGGGCGGAAGCCUGAUGCAGCAACGCCGCGUGCGGGAUGACGGCCUUCGGGUUGUAAACCGCUAUCGCCUGUGACGAAGCGUGAGUGACGGUAAUGGGUAAAGAAGCACCGGCUAACUACGUG
rnacentral:rRNA from 1 species